rfam:Clostridiales bacterium 42_27 Ley3_66761_scaffold_6645, whole genome shotgun sequence.
AGCCGAAACGCUCCACCCUGGAGCGUCAGCCGCGGGAUAAUCGCCCGGCUCUGAUGAUGGCAGAUUAAA